AUCGCUUCAGCAGCGUCCUCUCCUUCAAUCAAAACCGUUGCUCACUUUCUUAUUCGGGAUGCGAAAAUAGCAACAACGCUGUCGAUUGGCAAUUUGCCCGCCCGGCGAUACGUACACGCGUUUCUUGUUUCAGAAGAGGAGAGAUGCCACGCUGCCUCUCUCGAUGUUCAUGGGACAAUUCACGCGAUAAUGCUCUUCGGGAUGUGAACAAAGUCAGUCACGGUUUCACGGAACAUGAAACUAAUUACAAGUACAAGCUAGGGGGUAUGCCGCAUACGUUACCUACUUCCCCAGUUUUCUGAGCAUUCCCGAGUCUCGACGUUUGCCGCCAAGGGGGCCCAUCAUCUCAUCGUUCCGAAAUGAUCACAAGUACACUACCUACCGUGUGCGCUAUGAGCAGCGAGCAAUCAAUUGCGCCAUGGCGACUCAACAUUUGUCGAGGGCUGCGACACGGCACUGAACCGCACCCAAGAUCUCUUUUGGGACGAAUGGACCGCACAAGCUGCCGGAGUCCUCUUUGCCCCACAAAAUGCAGGCUAUUCGGAUGAAGAUUGGGGGCGUGUCCGGCGAUAAGCUUCAGGACACCCGACUCCGUCGAGAUUCUUAUCGCGUUUCAAUUCCAAACAAACAAAGCAAGAGGCGUGGCCAGCAAGGUUCGUGAAGUGCUCGCAUCGCCAAGCCUCGGCAAUGGUGUUGAGGGUUGUGUGGAACUCUCACCUUGCUUCGCACGUUCCGUCGCAAUGUGGCAUUACCAUCCGAUAAACACAAGCAGACUAUCGGACGAAAGAGGGUGCUGCUAUCUAUCAAAUCUACGGACAACAUACACUAGUGUACACAUACUUAGUUGCAGCACGGGGCUACCGCCACUUACACGUGUAAGUAAAGGGCAGGUAACGACGAUGCAAUUGAUUCGAUAACCGCCCGGGCAGCUCGGCCAUCUCAAACAAAGAAAAAAAAAAGGGUGGAAUGUUGUCAUCACGGCCGACGAUGAUGUUUAGGCUUAGACAAAGGGACGACUAUGUAUGAGCGAAUCCAUUCUCCAGAUCUCGUGGCCCAUCCAUCAGUGUGUUAAAAACGU